rnacentral:rRNA from 1 species
UACGGGGGGGGCAAGCGUUGUUCGGAAUUACUGGGCGUAAAGGGUUUGUAGGUGGCUUGCUAAGUCAGACGUGAAAUCCCUCGGCUUAACCGGGGAACUGCGUCUGAUACUGGAUGGCUGGAGUAUGGGAGAGGGAUGCGGAAUUCCAGGUGUAGCGGUGAAAUGCGUAGAUAUCUGGAGGAACACCGGUGGCGAAGGCGGCAUCCUGGACCAUUACUGACGCUGAGGAGUGAAAGCCAGGGGAGCAAACGGG